GCCUCAGUAACGGCGAGUGAAGCGGCAAAAGCUCAAAUUUGAAAUCUGGCACCUUCGGUGUCCGAGUUGUAAUUUGAAGAAGGUAACUUUGGAGUUGGCUCUUGUCUAUGUUCCUUGGAACAGGACGUCACAGAGGGUGAGAAUCCCGUGCGAUGAGAUGCCCAAUUCUAUGUAAAGUGCUUUCGAAGAGUCGAGUUGUUUGGGAAUGCAGCUCUAAGUGGGUGGUAAAUUCCAUCUAAAGCUAAAUAUUGGCGAGAGACCGAUAGCGAACAAGUACAGUGAUGGAAAGAUGAAAAGAACUUUGAAAAGAGAGUGAAAAAGUACGUGAAAUUGUUGAAAGGGAAGGGCUUGAGAUCAGACUUGGUAUUUUGCAAGCUUUACCUUCGUGGUGGAGUCCCCUGCAGUUUACUGGGCCAGCAUCGGUUUGGAUGGUAGGAUAAUGACUUGGGAAUGUGGCUUUGCUUCGGUAAAGUGUUAUAGCCCUUGUUGAUGCUACCUGUCUAGACCGAGGACUGCGUCUUUGACUAGGAUGUUGGCAUAAUGAUCUUAAGUCGCCCGUCUUG
rnacentral:rRNA from 1 species